ACGGAGGGUGCAAGCGUUAAUCGGAAUCACUGGGCGUAAAGCGCACGUAGGCUGUUUUGUAAGUCAGAGGUGAAAGCCCACGGCUCACCCGUGGAACUGCCUUUGAUACUGCAAGACUUGAGUUCGUGAGAGGGUGGCGGAAUUCCAGGUGUAGGAGUGAAAUCCGUAGAGAUCUGGAGGAACAUCAGUGGCGAAGGCGGCCACCUGGUACGACACUGACGCUGAGGUGCGAAAGCGUGGGGAUCAAACAG
rnacentral:rRNA from 1 species